AUGGCCUGGGAUCCAUUUGUGCUUGUCUUCCUUGCUCACUGCACAGGCUCUUGGGCUGAGAUUGUGUUCACUCAACCCCAGUCUGUGUCAGGGUCUCCUGGCAAGACAAUCAGCAUCUCCUGUACACACAGCAGUGGCAGCAUUGACAACAACUAUGUGUCCUGGUACCGACAGCACCCUUUGAGUGCCCCAAAGAUUCUAAUCUACAAAUACAAUCAAAGACCCACUGGGAUUCCCAACCGGUUCUCUGGAUCCAAAGACAGCUCCUCCAACUCUGCCUCCCUGACUAUGUCUGGGCUGCAGCCUGAGCAUAAGGCUGAUUACCACUGUCUGUCUGGUUAUGAACUCCAAGAACAGGAUGUUGUCCAAUCAAGACAUAUAACUUUGAAGUUCAUCACCUGCACCCUAAGGGAACUCUGGACAUCAGGGGAUGCUGGGGAACUGUUCCUGGCACUUCAUGGUGUUUUGGAGAUGUGA